UGUGAAGAAUAAAGAUGAUGAUGAUGAUGAUGAUGAUAAUGAUGAUGGUUACGCUUGUAAUGAUGAUGGUGACGACGACAAAUUACUUGUCUUAGCUCACGUUUGGCCAGUGAACACUGAUCUACGAUGAGUACCCUUGUUUCGAGCGAAAAAAGGAUCAAGAAACAUCCAGAAGUAAUAAGGAAAGGCAAGAUCAUUGUGAAGAAUGAUAGUGAUGAUGAUGAAAAUGAUGAUGUCGGCGACAGUUGUCUUGUCUUUGCUCAUUUUUGACCAGUGAACACAGACCCACGAAGUUGACAUUGUUUCAAGAGCAGACGUCUAAAAGGUCAAAGACAAGAUCGCUGUAUGGUGGAUGAUAAUGGCCAAAAUAUUGCUGACCUCCAGUGGGUAUUGUCGAAGCCAGCCGUCACUUCGGGAAACGCAGCUCUGCAAUGGUUACUUCUACUGGUACAGCUGACAGACAAUAGAACAGCAGUUUCUUAAGCCAUGUUGAAAGACAUGAUCAUUGAGAGUAAUGAUGAUGAUAAUGGUGAUGAUGGUGAUGAUGAUAGCGAUUAUGAUGGUGAAGGUAGCGAUGAUUAUGAAAAUGAUGAUGGCCCGUUGCUUGUCCUGGCUCACGUUUACCCAUUUAACACAGAUCUACGAUGUCAACGUCUAAAAGGUAAACUUUGUUUAUUCAUAAAAGAGCAAAAAUUAGUGACAUCUUCAAAAAUGCAAUUAUAUUUUCCAUCGUGACUCACCUGAAUGCUUAAAUGGAGAUAAUUGUGAUCGCUUUCAGUCCGCUUUCUUUCCUUUAUAAGGUUUGUCCGGAGGAUAUACCAAAGUGGCAAAAUUUCACUCUUUUAGGACAUUAGAUGCCGCACACGUGUAGCAAUCAUAAACAUACCUUAAAACAUAUAUACGCCAAUCCCAAGUACUUAGAUAUGUUAGAUAUUUACAGAAUUACACAGAAAAUAGAGUUAUGGCAUGCG